GAGGGUCUAGCUUAGAGGUAGAGCGCGUGCUUAGCAUGCCCGGGGUCCUGGGUUCCAUCCCCAGCACCUCCA
rnacentral:tRNA from 1 species